rnacentral:piRNA from 1 species
UCGAGGACUGGUGACCUCACCUCUGCCUGCAC